GUAACAGAGCGCGAUACUACACAUACUACACAUUUAUCUACAGUGACAAGUGUAACAACGCCCGAAGUGCGGUUAGAAAACCAAGAAGCUGACCUACUAAGAGUUAUAGAACAACAAAAGAUCGCCUUAAUCUGUGUUUCUGUCUUUGCUGCCGUAUUGAUUUUUAUCAUUGCCAUCAUGUGUUUCAUCUUCAUUUGCCGUCAGAGAAUUUGUAACACACGAGAGAACAACACCGAUUGCAACUUGAAUGACUACGAAGCACCCUAUAACAGCCCUAUUAGAACAGAAACUACCCACGAAGAUGAGCAUCAGUAUGAGCUGACGGUCACUGGGGCAUCAUAUCACGGAGACGUUACAUCCAACUACACAGAGAUAAAUUAGCGAAUAAGAUAUCAGUGAAGAAAGAUUUAAUAACUUUACUGUCAUCUUAUCUAGCAAAUCAAAUUUUAGUAGCAACAUAUUUUAUAUCUACAACAUUCAACAUAGUUUUGUUGUUAAUUGAAAUCAACGUGUGUAUACAUUGUUAUAUUCUUCUCCGUAACACAUACAUACGCACACAUACUGAGCACAAAUGUUGAAAUCUAAUAGUAAUAUUUCCUAGUUUAACAAACAAAUAGAUAGUACAUAUUUUUAAAAUAUAUUUGUAACGUGUUUAUCUUGGGAAAAUAGGGGUUUAUUACUCAUAUCGACUAGCUAUAGUAAUGCAAUUUUAACAUGGGAUUACUGCGUAUUUCCUCACCCAGCACAAGUGUUUGGUGUUAAAAUUUGUCGAUCAAUAAAUGUUUAGAGAGU